AGAAGCCGUGCGAGAUGAAAGUCUCAUACACGGUUUUGAAUGAGAGAAAGAAGUGAGGAAUCUUCUUUUCGACUCUGAC
rfam:Gossypium hirsutum cultivar TM-1 chromosome 10, whole genome shotgun sequence